rnacentral:rRNA from 1 species
AUGAGUACAUCUCAACUUUUACUGUAUUUCUUAUUGACAACUAGUGUUGCGCAUAACGGCUUACCCGCCCUGGCAAUUUUGCUGCCCUUCUCAUGCAUCCUAGGCCUCUUCUCAUCACUGACCACAACAAGCAUGGUGGCGAGGAGAUGUGUGGAUCUACGCGGCGAUCCAGUUCCUCUUCGUCUUGUUCUUCACGCAUCUGUUCUACAGAUAUCUGCAUCUGCAGGCUGUGAUAUCCAUCAUCCUGACAACCUUACCAUGACACUACUAUUAUUGGACAAUUUUUACACUCAUCUCUACCUGGAGAACAAAUUCCUUAGUGCAAUUAAUCGAUUGAAUUUACACUCAUAUGCAGAUUGCGUAGAAAAAUUGACUGUAUUUUGA